CGCUAUCACUCCUACGGGAGGCAGCAGUAGGGAAUCUUCCACAAUGGGCGCAAGCCUGAUGGAGCAACACCGCGUGAGUGAAGAAGGGUUUCGGCUCGUAAAGCUCUGUUGUUAAAGAAGAACACGUAUGAGAGUAACUGUUCAUACGUUGACGGUAUUUAACCAGAAAGUCACGGCUAACUACGUGCCAGCAGCCGCGGUAAUACGUAGGUGGCAAGCGUUAUCCGGAUUUAUUGGGCGUAAAGAGAGUGCAGGCGGUUUUCUAAGUCUGAUGUGAAAGCCUUCGGCUUAACCGGAGAAGUGCAUCGGAAACUGGAUAACUUGAGUGCAGAAGAGGGUAGUGGAACUCCAUGUGUAGCGGUGGAAUGCGUAGAUAUAUGGAAGAACACCAGUGGCGAAGGCGGCUACCUGGUCUGCAACUGACGCUGAGACUCGAAAGCAUGGGUAGCGGACAGGAUUAGAUACCCUGGUAG
rnacentral:rRNA from 1 species